GAUGAACGCUGGCGGCGUGCCUAAUACAUGCAAGUCGAGCGAACAGACGAGGAGCUUGCUCCUCUGACGUUAGCGGCGGACGGGUGAGUAGCACGUGAAUAACCUACCUUUAAGACUGGGAUAACUUCGGAAAACCGGAGCUAAUACCGGAUAAUAUAUUGAACCGCAUGGUUCAAUAGUGAAAGGCGGUUUUGCUGUCACUUAUAGAUGGAUCCGCGCCGCAUUAGCUAGUUGGUAAGGUAACGGCUUACCAAGGCAACGAUGCGUAGCCGACCUGAGAGGGUGAUCGGCCACACUGGAACUGAGACACGGUCCAGACCCCUACGGGAGGCAGCAGUAGGGAAUCUUCCGCAAUGGGCGAAAGCCUGACGGAGCAACGCCGCGUGAGUGAUGAAGGUCUUCGGAUCGUAAAACUCUGUUAUUAGGGAAGAACAAAUGUGUAAGUAACUAUGCACGUCUUGACGGUACCUAAUCAGAAAGCCACGGCUAACUACGUG
rnacentral:rRNA from 1 species